UAAAGCCUACGGGGGGCAGCAGUGGGGAAUAUUGCACAAUGGGGGAAACCCUGAUGCAGCAACGCCGCGUGAGUGAGGAAGUAUUUCGGUAUGUAAAGCUCUAUCAGCAGGGAAUAGAAAAGAAGGUACCUGAAAAAGAAGCCCCGGCUAACUACGUGCCAGCAGCCGCGGUAAUACGUAGGGUGCGAGCGUUAAUCGGAAUUACUGGGCGUACAGCGCUCGUAGGCGGUAUGUCAAGUCAAGGGUGAAUUCCCCGCGCUC
rnacentral:rRNA from 1 species